GAUGAACGCUGGCGGCGUGCCUAAUACAUGCAAGUCGAGCGAACAGACGAGGAGCUUGCUCCUUUGACGUUAGCGGCGGACGGGUGAGUAACACGUAGGUAACCUACCUAUAAGACUGGGAUAACUUCGGGAAACCGGAGCUAAUACCGGAUAAUAUUUCGAACCGCAUGGUUCGAUAGUGAAAGAUGGCUUUGCUAUCACUUAUAGAUGGACCUGCGCCGUAUUAGCUAGUUGGUAAGGUAACGGCUUACCAAGGCAACGAUACGUAGCCGACCUGAGAGGGUGGUCGGCCACACUGGAACUGAGACACGGUCCAGACUCCUGCGGGAGGCAGCAGUAGGGAAUCUUCCGCAAUGGGGGAGAGCCUGACAGAGCAACGCCGCGUGAGUGAUGAAGGUCUUCGGAUCGUAAAGCUCUGUUAUUAGGGAAGAACAAACGUGUAAGUAACUGUGCACGUCUUGACGGUACCUAAUCAGAAAGCCACGGCUAACUACGUG
rnacentral:rRNA from 1 species